rnacentral:rRNA from 1 species
UACAGAGGUGGCAAGCGUUGUUCGGAAUUACUGGGCGUAAAGGGCGCGUAGGCGGUCUUUUAAGUCUUGUGUGAAAUCCCUCGGCUCAACUGAGGAACUGCACGGGAUACUGGAAGGCUUGAGUUCGGGAGAGGGAAGCGGAAUUCCGGGUGUAGCGAUGAAAUGCGUAGAUAUCCGGAGGAACACCGGUGGCGAAGGCGGCUUCCUGGACCGAUUACUGACGCUGAGGCGCGAAAGCCAGGGGAGCGAACGGG